GAGAGAACGUUGCGUCAGCAACGGCCCGCAGGGCGAGUCACGCAGUGGCGAGUCAUCCUCUAUCACCGACCA
rnacentral:sRNA from 1 species